GACGAACGCUGGCGGCGUGCUUAACACAUGCAAGUCGAACGGAAAGGCCCUGCUUUUGUGGGGUGCUCGAGUGGCGAACGGGUGAGUAACACGUGAGUAACCUGCCCUUGACUUUGGGAUAACUUCAGGAAACUGGGGCUAAUACCGGAUAGGAGCUCCUGCUGCAUGGUGGGGGUUGGAAAGUUUCGGCGGUUGGGGAUGGACUCGCGGCUUAUCAGCUUGUUGGUGGGGUAGUGGCUUACCAAGGCUUUGACGGGUAGCCGGCCUGAGAGGGUGACCGGCCACAUUGGGACUGAGAUACGGCCCAGACUCCUACGGGAGGCAGCAGUGGGGAAUAUUGCACAAUGGGCGGAAGCCUGAUGCAGCAACGCCGCGUCGGGAUGACGGCCUUCGGGUUGUAAACCGCUUUCGCCUGUGACGAAGCGUGAGUGACGGUAAUGGGUAAAGAAGCACCGGCUAACUACGUG
rnacentral:rRNA from 1 species